rnacentral:rRNA from 1 species
UACAGAGGUCUCAAGCGUUGUUCGGAUUCAUUGGGCGUAAAGGGUGCGUAGGCGGCGCGGUAAGUCGGGUGUGAAAUCUCGGAGCUUAACUCCGAAACUGCAUUCGAUACUGCCGUGCUUGAGGACUGGAGAGGAGACUGGAAUUUACGGUGUAGCGGUGAAAUGCGUAGAUAUCGAUAAGGAAGACCAGUGGCGAAGGCGAGUCUCUGGACAGUUCCUGACGCUGAGGCAGCGAAGGCCAGGGGAGCAAACGGG